ensembl:lncRNA
GUGGACCCUGGGAUGAGCGAGAAUCCCCAGAGCUCACAGCUGGCCAGGUGGAGUAACGGGCUCAUCUCACAGGUGAACCGUGUCAUGCUUCAGCAAACUGCAGGCCAACUUAAGCAGAUGCACUCUUGGGUACUAGGGAAUGGAAGAUGGGGAUUUCGGAUGCGGAGAGCGUCAGCACGCCCCCUCCCUGCCCCCCAUCUCUGUGAGUCAUGAUAAGGAACAGGGUUUUAUUCACUGGAGAGUCCGAUUGAAGGGUCAAAUGCGGCCUCUGGUUUAAAUGAGAUGUGAUUUAUUUCCUUAGGACGUGUUAGAAGGAGAAGGAAGUGUUUGAACAAAAGCACUAUGCACAUUUUUAGAUUGGUUCCUAAAGGCAUGGAGUAUCCUUGCCGACUUUGGCCAGAGAUCACUUUAAUUGGAAGGAUAAUUUAGGAGACAGGAUUCUUUCUUUUUCUGCAAGUUCUGAAACUGUUGGGAAACAGGAGCGAGGAACAACAAGAGCGUUUCCUCUUCUAAAUAAUUUAUUUCCUGUUAGUAGUUUUCCUUUUCUGCCCUGUACGUCCAUUCCCAAAGCUGUAAUGAGUUUCGGGAACAUAAGGUGUCAGAUAUUGGCUUGUUGGUGGUGGUGCUGUUGAGAUCUCUAAAUUCACGACCCCUUCGAGCAUCCGAGCCACGGUGCAUACAUAAUUUACGAAGAGAUCUGCAGCUUUCAUCUGUUCCUCCUUCUAACUUUUGGCGAUUUGUAUUCAAAGGAUGAUUUGUUUUACUGCGAAAGAACUCGCCAUAUCUCCAGAAGUUUCUGCAGAGGAUGGGCAGGCACCCUGCAGCAGAUCCUUUGUGCUCAGGGGUGAUUCUGCAGUCUUUAAUCCCAGAAAGGGAGGGAGUAGAGAGAGACAAAGCCAUGCAAGCUGGUUUUCUUAAGGUGGGGAUGGUUGAAGGAAACAGUGUGUGAGAAAAAUACAUUCUUGGCCAUCAAGGAGAAUGGUGUUUGGUGGAUGGAGCAAUGGAUGUGGCUGUGUUAAAGCAGGGUUUUGUUGGUCUCUCAGGGCUUCAAGGAGGCCAGGAUCUGUCCCAGAAAGGACAGGAUCAGCAGUUCACGGAGCAGUGGUCCCUUCCAACAAGCAUUUCCUCAGUACUGCCUUUGUCUUUAGAGGUUGGGUGGGAAUACAAAUUCAGACUCUUCUGUGACCCGUCUCUCAUUCAUGUCCUUGCCCACGUUUCUUUCAUGUCCAGGUGUUUCUGUUUGUCUUUCAUUUCUGCCUCUCUUUCUGAGAAAGGGAAGUUGGAUUCCGGGUUGGCUGCCGAGAACCAGGGCUGAAGCCGCCUCUCUAGGUACGCCAGAGGAGAAAGAACAUUGAGAUUUCCGUCCUGGAUUGUCUGCUGAGACCAACCUUGGUCAAGAAGCCUGCCUCCUAUUUAUUGAUCCACACUCUUCACAUCUUAAAUAUUUAAUAAUGUGUUUUGCUGCUUGGUAGAUUUUUUUUGGAAGCCCAAGCUAAUGUCUCUUUGUGCACACCGGUGCAUAUAUUUAAGGACUGAUUGAACGACGGAUGCUGUCUCUUACCAUGUGCUACCUUGAGACUCUUCAGCCAUCCUAACAGGACAUCCUGUGCCAUGAAUGGGGAGAACCCCUGCUGAGAUCCUGGUUUCUGUCCUCUGAAGAGAGAACACCUUGACCUUCCUGUGGUAAAGCCUCUCACCUCCUCACUACAUUCUCCCCAUGACCUGAAGCUCUCUCACAAACUUCAACAUAAGGACUUGCUUUUAUUUUGCUGAGUGUCAUGUGGCCAUCUUAAUUUUCACCUGCAAGCAGAGCUGUAGACAUGGGAUAGUCUCAUGGACAGUCUGUUACUUUAAUUCAUAGCUGAUUGAUGAGUUCAUGUUGUCUCUAGGUUCCCACAUCUCUCCUUGCUCCCCAAGCCCAGUCUUGAAAGGAUGGAGUUUUGCAAGGAUCCUUCUUGCUCCCAUUGAGAGUCGGCUGUGAGAAGGACAGUCCAGUGGGCCUCAGCUUCCUCUCCACUGUUAGCUUUUACUCUUACUCACACCAAAUGGCUUUUCUCUACACUUGAGUUCGGAGAGUUCCUGCUGGACAAAAGGACAGGAGAACUCAGAGGGAACAAAUGUUCCGGGCCUGAGGAGGUGAGGAGGAGGGAGAAGUCAAAGGCCAAAGAAAGGCAGGGUGACAAAGAAGAGGAGGAGGUCUGGUUUGGAGAGCCUUUCAAAUCCCAAUUUGACCAGAAACAAAGGGCAUUUGACACAUUUUAAAGCAAAAAUAACCAAAAUUAGUAAUUACAUCUACCAGCUUGUUUAUCAACCAUCCAGUAAGUAUCAGCACAUUCUGUCCUUGGACUGUCAACUAAAUUAAGUGAUUGCCUUAAUUAAAACUAUGAAGAGAAAUGAAAAGAAUGCGGUGCAUUCCUGUUAAUGUUUUCAGAGUCUCACCACUACGGUAGAAACUUAGCUAAAUCAUUGCAGGGAAAGCAUUUGGUCAGGUUUUGAAAUACUAUUUGUAGUGACUGCCUAGCUACAGAAAUGGGCAUUUAGAAGGACCAUCUGGAAAAGAUAGAAUUAAAAUUAAAAACUGAAUGGGGCUGGAGGGACGGCUUUGCAGUUAAGAGUGCUUGCUACUCUUCUGGAGAACCUAACUUCACUCCCCAGAACCCACAUUUGGUGCUCACAACUGCCUGUAGCUCCGGUCCAUGGUGUCUAACACCUUCUUUUAGCCUCCAGGAGCACAUGAACGUGGAACCCCCCCUUUCUCUUCUC